GUGCUCAUUUUGGCAGCACACUUAUUAAAACUGGAACAAUACAGAGAAGAUUAGCAUGACCCCUGCACAAAGCUGACACACAAAUUCAUGAAGAGUUCAUUUUGUGC